GAGAUGAGACGCCUUCAUGCUCUGGCUCUCCUUUCAUAGAACUGAUAAAGGGGAGCGUCAAGGCUAGGGGUUGAGGUUUUUUUGGGUUUUUUUUUUUUCCUGUUAACUGAAUGAGGCUUUUGAGGGUGAUAGUGAAGAGCCGGGUCCCCUGAGAGAUGUUUGGAGGAACAGGGAAUGGGUGCCGGCCCUCUGAAGAGCCUGGCGAGUGACAGAGCACCAUUCAUCUCCGCAUGACGGAGGACCCAGGAUGGACACACA